rnacentral:rRNA from 1 species
UACGAAAGGUGCAAGCGUUGUUCGGAAUAACUGGGCGUAAAGCGCACGUAGGCGGAAUCGUAGGUCAAUUGUGAAAGCCCCGGGCUCAACCUGGGAACUGCAGUUGAAACCGCGUUUCUUGAAUACCUGAGAGGGUGGGAGAAUUCCUGGUGGAGAAGUGAAAUUCGUAGAGAUCAGGAGGAAUACCAGAGGCGAAGGCGCCUACCUGGCAGUGUAUUGACGCUCAGGUGCGAAAGCGUGGGGAGCAAACAGGAUUAGAUACCCUGGUAGUCCACGCCGUAAACGAUGGAUACUAAGCGUUCGGAGAGUUAACCCUCUGAGUGCUGCAGUUCACACAUUAAGUAUCCCGCCUGGGGAGUACGGUCGCAAGGCUAAA